GCAAUGGGAGAAAGGGCGCGCAGUGGCAAUUUUUUUGGCUAAAUUAGGUCUCCUUCCCCCGUGCCUCAAUCCUUUGCCGCCGCCAGAAAAAAUCCCCCUCUCUCUCCCCAAUCUUCCUCUCCCACAUCGCGAUGGCCCGCCGCGCGCCACCACCACGCCGUGCCCCUACCGGCCCUGCUCCGCCACGCCCCUACCAGCCCUGAUCCACCGCGUCGCCUCUUCCUCCCCCUUCUCUACCACAUCGGUGACCCAAUCGGACCAUCGGCGGUGGGCACGAUGUCCUCACGCGAAUUUGACUGCCGCCACCAUCACCACCUCCACCUCGAGCUGCUCCUCGAUGCGGUUGUCCCCGACGAGCACCGCCCCCACAGGACUGUCCCCGACGAGCUACUCCCCAACGGCCACAUCCUCUCCUGCACUGCGAGCACUACAGCGAGGAGGACGCCAUCCACUUACCCGCUAGAUCAAGAUUGCGUCCACCACCUCGACUUCACCCCAAAGCUAGCUUGCCGUUGUUGCAGAAUAUCAGUUUGCCCUUUGCAAGGUCCGCUCCUGCAGGUCUACUAGGUACCAAGGAAUGUUUAAAUACUACAUUGGUGUUUUCUAGCUUGGAGAAGCAACAUCAACUUGGGAUGUAGAUUCACCAGUAUAUGUGCAUGCAUCUCAUAGGGGGAGAGAUCUUGCACGGAUGUAAGACCAUUUUUCUUCUGCUAUAGAUUCUAGAGUGAUGCUUUGCUUAAAUUCAUAUCCAUGCAUAAAGUCAACAUCCAAUGAAAUAUGAGCAAAUUAUUUUAUCUCUGUUAUUGUAAUUGGGAGCUAUGACAACCAUAUAAACGGAUUUAGUAUAUUUUGAUUGCAUGGUUUCUUUUUUGCUAUUUGAAAUAUGAAUGUGUAUCUUUAAUCAUGAUUGUUUAUGCAUUUUUAAGCAUGAUUAGAACUGCGCUGAAGAUGUGUGCUUAACCGUGUAGUUUUUUCUGCAGCCAAAAUUCACCUGAAGCUUUACAGAACUAGCGGAACACUAAUUCAUAGACCUAUCCUUUCCUUUGCUUUGUUUUUCCCGUAGAAUAGAUUAAGCAUAAUCUGAGUGGUGUAUACGCAACACAUUUCUUAAUGGCCAUGCAUGCAAUUAUAAUCUAAUUGGGACACAACUAACAAGUUGAUUUACAUGAGCAUGCUCAUGUAUGUUUUCACAACCUGGCCCUUGUCUUGCAGAUCCUCGAAACGAGCCAAGAACCAUGAAAUGUUUUCACAACCUGGCCCUUGUCAUGUAUGUUUUACAGAUCCUCAAAACGAGCUUAGACUUUGUUUGUUAUGCAAGAUCUCUUCAUGUGUCAUAAUGAUACAAACACGAGCUACAUAAUUUAGGCAUUUACAAUUAUAAGUAAGUGAUAAUUUGGCAGAACAACAUGUUAGAAAUUCGGCAAUUUAUCAUUCUAACUACUGAAAUUAUAGGAUGCACUAUUUUUUCAAGUGUGGUGUUUAUUCGAGAAGGCAACAAAGAGGUAUGGCAGGACUGCUUUGUUGCACAUGUUCGAAAGUUGUGCCUUACCUGCUUUAAAUAUAGUAGUUGAGACUUCUGGGCACAUGCCGUUUCAUCUCGAGCUUUCUUAACUAAUAGAGAAAUGAAAUAACUUAUCAAAGCCUUUUUGUACGGUUUUUCUUUUGACUUCAAAAACAUUUUCGCAAAUUUCAACUUCAUAGCCAGUUUCCAAAUUCAAAGAAAUCACCUACCAUGGCCUUGUUCCUUUUUUUAAACUUCUCAUUCUGCAUCUUAAACAGCCAAACUCACAGCCAUUUCAAUGUCAAGCUCGCUGAGCAACUUGAAUUCACAAUUCAUAGCAAAUAUAUGAACAACUAACCAUGCUUUAUAUUUUUG
rnacentral:rRNA from 1 species